ensembl:lncRNA
GUGCAGAAGAGUCAGGUCUCUAUCAUCUAUUACACAAAUCUCCUCAUCACCAACCUAAUCCAGAUCUGCAUAAUGACCCUUUGGGUGACAAGAGUGGAAAGCAUCAUCACCAUCAUUAUUUAUUACUGUGUUAUGAUGGCCAACCUUUACUUCAGGAUGUGCAUUGUUCUGGAAAGGUAUUUUUCCAUCACACACCCACUGCUGGACUGUCUUAAAAAAACUGAGAGUUCGGUGGUGGUCUGUGUUCUGGUCUGGGCAUUUUGUAUUGUCAGUGUCACUCUUGCGAUAGUCUUACAUGAAUUUCAACGAUUACUUGUUUAUGCCGCUCUCCCUGCUCCUGUGUUCAUCUUCUGUUCAGCUCAGACUUUCAGAGCCCUGCCUGCUGCCAACUCAAUGCCUACUGAGGAAAAAGAGAGAAGUCUGGGAACUUUGAUUUUGUUGUUUUUUAACUACUUUCUAGGAACCGUUCCCACAAUGAUCUUUGAUAUUCUAGUUAUUCAAAGUUAUAUCAGCUGGAUCUUGUUUCUGCUUGGUCCUUUUCUGGAAUUGAUUCUGUUUUCUUACAUCUUCUCUGCAUGUGUGUGGUGUGUGGCCACCACUGCAUCAGAUGAAGAAGUUGAUGAUGAGUGUGGCUUACUUUAGAACAGACAGGUGUUUUGAUUAAAAGAGACACGAGAGAGAAAUAAGGACGGAAAUGGUUGAAGAGUUUCUGAGAACUGAGGCAAAAAAAAUCCUUCACAAAUACCGUUGCACGAGGACAUCAGACUGUCAGCUGUGCUUCUCUCAACUGAAGUGUGUCUGUGUAAAUAAUCUUAAAAAUGUUUUAGAAGCUGCUAUGAACACUCUUUUUAUUCCAAUAUUGAACACUGAAAAAAUACCUUUUUUUUUUAACAUUUCCCAUAUAGUUUACCUUUUUUCCUUUUCUUUUGUUUUCUUUGUUUCUAUGGCUAUGUCCACACAUACACGGGUAUUUUUUGAAACCUGAGAUUUUCUGUUUUCUUUUUUUUUUAUUCACUGAGCACGCUUCCUGAUGUAUUCGUGGAUGUUCGCUGCCUCCUAGACUGUGGUACUGACACUCACUAGUUACUGGUCUUAUCCUUUACGCUUAGCAUACAGCUUCAGGGUGCUGGAGAUGUUGUGAAAGCCUCCAUGCAGGGUCAGGAGCUUCCUGUUCUUGAUGUCAGUGGCUUCUAUCUCCUACGUUGGCCAGCUUAUAUAAAGAUAUACAUGUGUGCUUCUGGGGUUAAAAAACCAAAUACAUGUAGCAAAAUGUAAAUAAACUUGUGUUUAUGCUUCUUCCUGCUUCUAUUUGAAUAAUGGUUUCGCUUAUGUUUGACUUUUUUUUGUUUUUGUAUAAUUGUAACAUGUUCAGUAACAAGCUACCUAUCAACUAGUAUACUGUAUGUUGUAAUAUGUAGCUAUAUCCAUACCAAGCUGUUUUGAAGCUCCUUCAAAAUAGGUCUAAAUAGCUAUAUACAGCAGACUUAAUGUCUUAACUUAAUAAAUCAAAUCAUUUUCUUGCCUGCCUUCUUUGAACCAAUUAGCAUCCACCAUAGUUUAUCUCAGUGCUUGUCUGUGUUUUGUUUGUCACCUUAUUUCUGAAGAACGAGUCAUUUUAAUCUCUGCUACUCAAAAUUAACAAUCUCAGCCAAACUGAUUUACUCAGGAAUAAAUAAAACACUGAAAAAAGCCAAACAAUAAAAUUUUUAAGUUAUCUAAAGGACUUAUAUAUCAUGUUUAACCUGAAUAGCGAAACACCGCGGGGGUUUGAAAACAAUGUACCGGGAGUUCGCUGUUCUCGCUGGCUCUAGCGACCCUUGAACCCCCGGCUAGAUAUCGAGCUGGUGGGUAACGGACGUCUCCGAAAACGUCGGAGCACAAAUAUGUGAUGUCUUGAUAAAUCGAGCAGAUAUUUGAAGUCUACACAGCUACAUUCUCACCUGAAAUUAUCUUAAAAGUUUAUUUUGUGACCCAGAAAGAGUAAUAUUAACACCAGCACUGCCAGGCUUCUACCUUUAAAACCCGCCUUCCAGCCAAAU